rnacentral:rRNA from 1 species
GUCAAGUACAAAGAGCAUCGGGUGGAUGCCUUGGCACUGGGAGCCGAAGAAGGACGUGAUAAGCUGCGAUAAGCUGCGGUAAGGAGCACAUAUCCGAUAUACCCGCAGAUUUCCGAAUGGGGGAACCCACAUGCGGUAAUGCGUAUGUAUCAUUAAGUGAAUACAUAGCUUAAUGAAGGGAACGGGGUGAACUGAAACAUCUAAGUAGCCCUAGGAAGAGAAAGAAAAAUCGAUUUCCUGAGUAGCGGCGAGCGAAAGGGAAAGAGGCCAAACCAAAUUGUUUACAGUUUGGGGUUGUGGACCACCAACAUUGACGAAGUUAUGCGAGCCGAAUAGGGUUGGAAAGCUCAAGCAGAGAAGGUAAUACUCCUGUAGGCGAAGCAGAAAGCGCAUAGGUGGCACCAGAGUAGGACCGGACACGUGUAACCCGGUCUGAAGCAGGAGGGACCACCCUCCAAGCCUAAAUACUACCCAGUGACCGAUAGCGAAUAGUACCGUGAGGGAAAGGUGAAAAGAACCCCGGGAGGGGAGUGAAAUAGAAUCUGAAACCUGAUGCUUACAAGCAUAGGGAGCGCAAGUGACCUAGUACUUUUUGUAGAACGGGCCAACGAGUUAUGGUAUGUAGCGAGGUUAAGUUGCUGGAGCAACGGAGCCGUAGAGAAAUCGAGUCUGAAUAGGGCGAGAGUUACAUGCUGUAGACCCGAAACCGGGUGACCUAUCCAUGAGCAGGUUGAAGUAACCGUAAAAGGUUAUGGAGGACCGAACCUAUAUCUGUUGAAAAAGGUUAGGAUGACUUGUGGAUAGCGGUGAAAUUCCAAUCGAACUCGGAUAUAGCUGGUUCUCCUCGAAAUAGCUUUAGGGCUAGCCUCAAGGUAAAGAUACACGGGGGUAGAGCACUGACUGUUCGCGGGGCCUUCACCGGUUACCAACAACUAUCAAACUCCGAAUACCGUGGUAUCAUACUUGGGAGUCAGACUAUGAGAGAUAAGUUCCAUGGUCGAAAGGGAAACAGCCCAGAUCAACAGCUAAGGUCCCAAAGAGUAAGUUAAGUGGAAAAGGAUGUGGGAUUGCACAAACAGCUAGGAUGUUGGCUUAGAAGCAGCCAUACAUUUAAAGAGUGCGUAAUAGCUCACUAGUCGAGUGAUCCUGCGCCGAAGAUAAACGGGGCUCAAACUUACCACCGAAGCUUUGGAAUUAGUAUAACUAAUUGGUAGAGGAGCAUUCUAUACAGGUAGAAGGAGGCGCGUAAGCAAAUCUGGACGGUAUAGAAGAGAGAAUGUUGGCAUGAGUAGCGUAAGGCGGGUGAGAAUCCCGUCCGCCGAAAAUCUAAGGUUUCCUGAGGAAGGUUCGUCCUCUCAGGGUAAGUCGGGACCUAAGCCGAGAGCGAACGCUGUAGGCGAUGGACAACAGGUUGAUAUUCCUGUACCACCAAGGAUUGUUUGAAUGAAGUGGGGACACAGAAGGAUAGAUUGAGCACGCCGUUGGUUGAGCGUGUCCAAGCAGCAAGGCUUGAAAGUAGGCAAAUCCGCUUUCUACAAGGCUGAGCUGUGAUGGGGUGGUCGAAUGACCGGUAGCAAUCGAUUUCACGCUGUCAAGAAAAGCCGCUAAUGAGAUCCAAGGUGCCCGUACCGCAAACCGACACAGGUAGAUGAGGAGAGAAUCCUAAGGUGAGCGAGAGAACUAUUGUUAAGGAACUCGGCAAAAUAACCCCGUAACUUCGGGAGAAGGGGUGCCUGCUUCGGCAGGCCGCAGUGAAGAGGUCCAGGCAACUGUUUACCAAAAACACAGGUCUCUGCUAAAGCGAAAGCUGAUGUAUAGGGGCUGACGCCUGCCCGGUGCUGGAAGGUUAAGGGGAAGUGUUAGGGCAACCGAAGCACAGAACUUAAGCCCCAGUAAACGGCGGCCGUAACUAUAACGGUCCUAAGGUAGCGAAAUUCCUUGUCGGGUAAGUUCCGACCCGCACGAAAGGCGUAAUGAUCUGGGCACUGUCUCAACAAUAGACUCGGUGAAAUUGUAGUACCGGUAAAGAUGCCGGUUACCCGCAGCAGGACGGAAAGACCCCGUGGAGCUUCACUGUAGCUUGAUAUUGAUUUUCGGCAUUGCAUGUACAGGAUAGGUGGGAGACGUUGAGUUCAGCACGCCAGUGUUGGAGGAGUCACCGUUGGGAUACCACCCUUGUAAUGUUGGAAAUCUAACCUAGUACCGUGAUCCGGUACAGGGACAGUGUCAGGUGGGCAGUUUGACUGGGGCGGUCGCCUCCUAAAGAGUAACGGAGGCGUUCAAAGG